AUGGGUGGACUUGUUGCUAGACGGUUAAGUCUGAAUCAUACUAAGGGCCCCGUCUUUGGAGGCAUUUAUGCUUCACGCCUAGCUGAAUAUUUUGAAAUACCUAUUAGGCAUUUGGAGAAAGAAGAAACAUCAUUUCCCCGUGCUUAUUUAGAUUAUAAGAGUAUGCUAGCGCAUGACUUUCUUGUUAAGGGCAAGGAAGGGGAGCUUAAAUAUAAAUUGUACUUUGAUAAACAUCACCCUGAGACUAUUACUUUGCAUGCUCCCUCUUUGUUUAACUUGUCUGCAGGUCCUCACAUCGUUCCGUGGGCGACCGUUCAAUCCUAUCGGAAUCCUGCACCAGCCCCGGAACUGGAACCACAAGAUGAGCCCCCAUGA
rnacentral:rRNA from 1 species